CCUACGGGAGGCAGCAGUGGGGAAUCUUCGGCAAUGGAGGAAAGCCUGACCGAGCAACGCCGCGUGAGUGAAGAAGGAUUUCGGUAUGUAAAGCUCUAUUAGCAGGGAAGAACAUGGAGGUACCUGACUAAGAAGCCCCGGCUAACUACGUACCAGCAGCCGCGGUAAUACUAAGUGGGCGAGGCUGCGCCGGAUUUAAUGGGGGUAAAGGGGGCGGAGUCGGUGUAGCAAGUCGGAUGUGAAAGGUCGGGGCUCAACCCGGGGUCGUCAUUGGAAACUGUUGAACGUGAGUACAGGAGAGGAAAGCGGAAUUCCUAGUGUAGCGGUGAAAUGCGUAGAUAUUAGGAGGAACACCAGUGGCGAAGGCGGCUCUCUGGACUGUAACUGACGCUGAGGCUCGAAAGCGUGGGGAGCAAACAGGAUUAGAUACCCGUGUAGUC
rnacentral:rRNA from 1 species